rnacentral:rRNA from 1 species
CAGCUCCAAUAGCGUAUAUUAAAGUUGUUGCAGUUAAAAAGCUCGUAGUUGGAUCUAGGGACGCGCAUUUCAAGCGCCCGUGUCGUCGGGUCAAACCGGCGACUGCGUUGGCGUUGCGGGCUCGGUCCGUCGGUGCUCACAAAAGCAUCGGCGUGUCAACCGGCCCGCCCGUCCCCUCCUUCUGGAUUCCCGUUCCUGCUAUUGAGUUAGUGGGGACGUCACAGGGGGCCCAUCGUCGUGUCAUGCAAAUGGCACGGCGGUGAGUCCCUGGGGCCCAGAUCGUUUACCGUGAAAAAAUUAGAGUGUUCAAAGCAGGCAGAUCCAAUUUUCUGCCACCGAAUACAUUAGCAUGGGAUAAUGGAAUAGGACCCUGUCCUCCUAUUUUCAGUUGGUUUUGGCAGCGCGAGGACUAGGGUAAUGAUUAAUAGGGAUAGUUGGGGGCAUUAAUAUUUAAUUGUCAGAGGUGAAAUUCUUGGAUUUAUGAAAGAUUAACUUCUGCGAAAGCAUCUGCCAAGGAUGUUUUCAUUAAUCAAGAACGAAAGUUAGGGGAUCGAAGACGAUCAGAUACCGUCGUAGUCUUAACCAUAAACGAUGCCGACCAGCGAUUAGGAGACGUUGAAUACAAAACACCACCAUCGGCGCGGUCGUCCUUGGCGUGUCAGCUUCACGGCUGGCGCGCGAGGGCGGUUUAGCCCGGUGGCACCGGUGAA